ACUCUGCGCUACUCUGAGAAAGCUCAGGGCACUUCCCAGGUCUCCCGCCUCUGUAGGGAGUGUCCCUUGACACUUGCAGCUUUCUUACACCUGCAGCUUCCUCGCGCCAACUCUUGCCAGCGCUUAUCCUAAUCACUAGGGUGUGUCGGUGAAAACUGGGGUCACUUAUUACCUGGACUGAAGGUCUGUUGAUUUCUUAACCUCCGUUAUAAGAGAGAGUUUUAGACCCAUUUUACAGAAGAAGGACCUGAAGAUCUGUGAUGUAUAUCUAAAGAACUGUUAAGUUGUGAGGUGACAACCAUGGGACACGGCUUAAGAGAUGAACUUCCUCAGUUACUAUUGGGGCAUUCUAACCUGCAGUGGGCAGGUCAAAGGCCUCCCUACAUCUGAGUCUGAAAAAAGUGAGAAGGUAGGAAGAUAUGUCCCAUAAACUAGAUACUGAGGGACCCCGGAGCCCUGAUCUCUUAGGAGAGCAAGACUUGACACCUCAGAUCAGCCUUUGAUUUGGGUUUCCACCAAAUAGCCUCAACUUCCUCAGACCUAAAGUGCCAAUAAUUAAACCUGGCUCAUGUCAGCCCUUGAAAGUCAGAGGUCACCUCGGAAGCCUUUAAGAGCUGGCACUUGGGUUCCACUCCCCUGGAACAGGGCUGUAUGAUGGUUUGGCCUCUCUGUUUCUCUGGUUCGCCCCUUGCCGGGUUGGUUGUCAAAGCUCUCACAGAGCUUUGCUUUAAGGAUGGUUUUGAGACUUUCAGAUGAAGGAAUGAGCUUGUUCUUCAUUUCCUGGUGGCAGAAGGAUGACACAAACAAGAGCCUCAUGCCUCUGGUCCUUCAUUGGAGCAACAGGUCCUUAGGACUAACAUGAGCUCCUGCAGAAACUGCCCUCACUUAGCAACCAUGGAUCUUAGUAACUAGAUCCCCAAAGUUCAUCAGAUUCCAAGGCUUCUGAGCGCUGGGUUUUCCUUGUAGGUAAAGGAACCUUGCUCUCAGGAGAGGUAAAGAACUCUGAGAAACCGACAAAACCAAGCCGACUCUCAGCCAGGCCGCAUCCCUCCACCUCUCUGGGCACAGUUCUGGACUGCAGACCUCUAGGUUUUGGAACAGUCGGGCCCAGAGCUCCCCUGCCACAUAUGGUCUGUGGACUUAGGUGUCAAAAACCGGAGAAUUAGAAAUGGUAAUUUUCCGUCAUUAUGGCUGAAAUGCGAUCUGUCACAACAACUGGAACAUGUCUCCUCGCUAGCGAAAAUAAUGUUCGUGAUUAGGAAUCAUUAUGCACGUCAAGCCGAGUCCAUUAAGUUGUAGGGAGAAAUUAGCCUUGACGGGUGGAAUCAAACUACAAAUAUACAGGCCUCGCCUUCAGGAGGCUGAGUAGCAGCCUAGGGAAGGAGGCAGUCACAGUCGGGUGUUUUCUUAAUAGGAAACUGCCCAAAGAACUAAUACCUCCUUCCCACCCCCUUAGGAGUCACCCUUCCUCUCUCGACUGCCAAGACCCCACCCUAGAAGCAGGAGUGGAGCUCAGUUGUAUUUGGUCAGAUCCACUAGUUAGAGACUUUGAAGUCCCAAGGCCCCUCUGGCCAGUUCUUGGCCACCACUUCCAAACUGUGUGACCUUGCCCAAGUCACUUGACUCUCCUGAACUUUGCUCACCAUCUGUAAAAGGAUAAUCUCCAGCCACUUCACUGAAUUCUUAUGAGGACUAAGCAAAGUCAUGUAUGGGCUAGGAACCUAUGAAACCCUUGGUCCCUUCCUCAGCUUGGCCUUCUCUGCACUGGGGACAAGAUGAUGGGGGUGGGGGGAUCUGGGAUUAGGGUUGAUUGGCUGGCACUGAGAAACUCAGGUCACCCAGCACCUGAGAAAGGUGAGCAGAAUCUCAGAGAAGUAGAGAUGAAACUGGGAGUAACUGUUCUGCCUACCGGACCCCCACCUCCAUCAGUCUAAAUAGACCAGAAGGACCAGAGUCCUCUAUGCUGUCUCCCUCCACCUGCCCCAGCUUCCAGCCCACUAGGCUCCAGAAUGCUACCUCUCAGUAUCCAUACCACUGCUAAGAAGUGGUGUGCAGCCAGUGGGGCAAGGUUAAAAUGCACCCUUUUCAGGCCUCUGUGUUCUGGAUGCAAAGUGCAAUUUACUAUCCAGUCAGAGCAGUAAGUUUGAGAAAGAGUCUCCCUAUUUGGCAAGUGAGAAGAAAAGUGGGAAAGCAGACAAGAAUCCCAAGAAGUCAGAAUCUUAGCUUGAAAUCCUAAUAACCUUUAGAGAGCUCCUUCUAUCCCAGGCAUUAACUCUGCAGGAUGCUACCUCCUUUCAUUUUCAAGGAAAACUAUGUGUCUCACUUGUUCCAACAGUGACAAAGCCAAAAAUUAGAGAAUUCACCAGAACCACAGGGCUGAGAAGAGCCAAGCUUGAUCUCACCCCCAAAGCCUCUUUUCCCAUUUUGAGACAUACACAGCUUUGGUUAACAUGCCUUUUCUCCUUUCUACCAGUCAGCGAAUCUGCCUCUCAGGCUGUGAAAAUUGAGCUACUGUAUCCAAACCCAGCUCCUAGCACAAUGCUGGAUGAAACAAAGACACUCACUUAGUCCCUAGCUCUAUCUGUUUGCCUGUUUGCUUGUUUGUUUGAUUGCUUGCUUGCUUGUCUUUGCCACAAUGCUGUCCUUGUCCCAGAACUUGUAUGCUGGGGAACUGAAGACAUGUAUGGAAAGUCCUGUGGUCAGUCUCGAGUACUCUGAAGCCUAAGAGUUUGAAACCAGUGUCACCGGAAACUGGCUCUGUCCCUAGCAGCCAACUCAGAAGAUGGGAAGGAAAAUGAGGCACAGUGCCAGAGACCUUCACCUAGCAAAACCAGCUCCUGAGGUCAACCACCCUGAGGGCAACUGUUCAGCCCGUCUGACAUGUAUGGGCACAACCAAAGUGGAGCUGCCGUCUAGUCAACUGUCAGAAAGAGGUGUCAUCUUGGAUAGCCUCAGAUUAGGAGCCCCGGCUGGUGUUUCCCUGGGAAACAGAUAUUUGUUGACUCCUCCCACUCCCGGCAACUCACCGGGAGAGUUGGCAGAAUCCGUAGCUCUCUUCCUGAAUCCCAGGGAUUAAACACAAACCACAUCCUCAGAAAGCAAGGCUGACAACAGCCAUCCCCAGUGGGGCAGACCUCUACCUCCCCUCCGAGAACAUUCUGAAUGUUCCAAAGGCGAAUGAAGUGGGGAGAUACCAGCAACAAGGGAGAAGGUCCAAAGUUCAAGGAGAAUGCAUCUCGCUAAAUUAUAAAACAAACACUGAAUAUUUUAAAAAAAAUUAAAAAUAAAGCUAUCUCAGGGA